rnacentral:misc_RNA from 1 species
ACAAACUUGGUCAUUUAGAGGAAGUAAAAGUCGUAACAAGGUCUCCGUAGGUGAACCUGCGGAGGGAUCAUUAACACUUUUUAAAAAAAAACAAACAAAAACAAACCGGUAACCCCCCAUUCUUUUUCUUUUGUUCACUCAACGUGAAAAAGGUAGAAAGAAUGUAUUUCUACUAUUCGAACUAAUCUGUUUCUUUAUCGAAAAGUGGGUAAGGCCUUUUUUUUUAUAAGAAAACCUUACCUUUUUUUUUAGAUACUGGACAACAAAAAUUUAACAUAAGCACAACUCUUAACAAUGGAUAUCUAGGCUCUCGCAUCGAUGAAGAACGCAGC